UACGUAGGGGGCUAGCGUUGUCCGGAAUCAUUGGGCGUAAAGAGCGUGUAGGCGGCCCGGUAAGUCCGCUGUGAAAGUCGGGGGCUCAACCCUCGAAUGCCGGUGGAUACUGUCGGGCUAGAGUGCGGAAGAGGCGAGUGGAAUUCCCGGUGUAGCGGUGAAAUGCGCAGAUAUCGGGAGGAACACCAAUGGCGAAGGCAGCUCGCUGGGACGGUACUGACGCUGAGGCGCGAAAGCGUGGGGAGCAAACAGG
rnacentral:rRNA from 1 species